GGGGACGCGAGGAUCAUGGCAGAGCCUGCUUCUGCGCCCUGCAUGCGACUAGUCCAGAGACUAGAGCUACAGGGCUGUAGCCUGGAGCCCGGUGAGCCACUUCCUGGCGAGCAGGAGGAACCCCGGGUCAGCCGAGUCAUGGGCGGGCAGCGGUGAAGGGAUAUAGGGCAGCUGGCAGGUAGCUGACGGGGGUGCACAGCCAGCAGGAGUUUGGGCAGUAUAAUAUAUUCCAGUUUUGGAGGAACCCUCUGCCACUUAUUGAUCUGGCAGCUCCUAAAGAUCUGAGUGCAAAUAGCCUGGCAAACACUUGAGGACAGGAAUGAAGGAGUUAAGAUUGAGUCCUGA
rnacentral:lncRNA from 1 species